GACUGAAUGCCGGGGCGAGCGUUCGGGUGGAGUAUAAGGGCAGGGGUGACAAGGGAUGGAAGAAACAGUUGAGGAAGAAGCCAGCUGAGUGGUUAGAGCGGCGGACUUAAGUCUCGGCGGCCCAUGUUCGAAUCCCCGCUCUGCCAUCGAAGUUUGUUGAGUGACCCUGGACCAGUCACACCCUCUCGGCCAGUCGCGGGUUGCUGUAAGGACAAAUUGGAGACGAGGAGCACAGUGAUCCAUCAUGCCUGACAAACUAUAUUUUGCAGAAGUUGAAACAUUUGAUAAGACUAAACUGAAAAAAGUGAAACCAGGGGAAAAAUACAUUGCCUAUUAAAGAAACUAUUGAACAGGAAAAGCAAAGCAAAAAUACACCCUGAAGUUGGAUUUGAAGAUACGAUGGACAUCUUCUAAUGUGGGAAUUUGGAUUCUUUUUUUUUUUUUGCUUGGACACCAAUUGGCUAUUUGUAAUGAACUUUUAACUUUCCCAGGCAAGCAGGGUUCUUAAGCAAAUGGCCUAAAACCAACCAUUUUUUAAUUCCCAAAAGUGGUUGCAAGCCUGUGUCUAAUCUGACUGUUUGCCAAAAAAGUCCAUAUUUACCUGUCAACAAAAAAUAUUUUCAUACAGCAUCUGAUUUAGCAUCUCACAAUAAACCCGUUUCUUACGUGUUAUCGUUAUUUAGAAUUUGAAUAUGCAGUUAUAAAAAGGUUUGCAGUUUACAAAUCUUGAGCAUGAAAUUUAGAAGAUUCUCAGAAAUAACAUUUAAUUUCAAACCACAAUUAAGUAGAAAUUUGACCUUAUUGGGGAUGUUAAUGCAAAAAAUAACU